GACGAACGCUGGCGGCGUGCUUAACACAUGCAAGUCGAACGGAAAGGCCCUGCUUUUGUGGGGUGCUCGAGUGGCGAACGGGUGAGUAACACGUGAGUAACCUGCCCUUGACUUUGGGAUAACUUCAGGAAACUGGGGCUAAUACCGGAUAGGAGCUCCUGCUGCAUGGUGGGGGUUGGAAAGUUUCGGCGGUUGGGGAUGGACUCGCGGCUUAUCAGCUUGUUGGUGGGGUAGUGGCUUACCAAGGCUUUGACGGGUAGCCGGCCUGAGAGGGUGACCGGCCACAUUGGGACUGAGAUACGGCCCAGACUCCUACGGGAGGCAGCAGUGGGGAAUAUUGCACAAUGGGCCGAAGCCUGAUGCAGCAGCGCCGCGUGCGGGAUGACGGCCUUCGGGUUGUAAACCGCUUUCGCCUGUGACGAAGCGUGAGUGACGGUAAUGGGUAAAGAAGCACCGGCUAACUACGUG
rnacentral:rRNA from 1 species